UCGCUAUCUCUCUUCAGUAGCUGCCUCUCUUCAAAAAAAACAACUAAUCCCCUUGCACGCAUCUGGUGAAGCACGCCGCCCAGGAGCUUCACGAGCGGCCGUCUCGCCGGCGAACAGGAUCCGCGUCACGCCGGUCGCCGCCGUGGAGGAUCCACGCCUCGGGUCAAGCUCGCCCCCGCCGACCACCGCCACGCUGUGCCUCCUCUCCAUCUGCAUCGACUUUGGCGCGCCUCCACCGCCGCCCCUCCCUAUCUUCUCCAUCGCCGCUGGAUUUGAGAUCCACGCAUCCUACUUCCUCUCGUUCAUCAAGGAGCUGCGUUUCUGCAUUUGGAUCGAAAAGAACACCAACUGUUCUCAAAUCUUCUCCUAAUGAUAGUAUCAUUAUACGGGUGUAAGACUGUAGUUAAUUACUAGUUUAUUAGUUGGAGACAAGGUGUCUUCUCGGGUGGAUUUAGGCUGCAAAGUAGUACUACUAUUAUCUAUGGAUUUGUUUCUAAUGUUGUUGUCAAGGAGUUUCAGAUUUGUUCCAAACUGUUUAAGUAGUAUACAAUGCAAUCUGGACAUAUCCGCCGAAUCAAAGGUCCAGUUCUAUGUAUUUUUCAUCUUCCUUGCAGAAACCUAUCAUUCAGUGGAUGAUUGGAUGCUGAAAUAGAUGUUUUCUUUAGUCAA